rnacentral:rRNA from 1 species
CAGGACGAACGCUGGCGGCGUGCUUCAUACAUGCAAGUCGAACGAGAAGUCACCUUCGGGUGAUGGAAAGUGGCGGACGGGUGAGUAAUGUGUAGAGAAUCUGCCCUUUAGUGGGGGACAACAGUUGGAAACGACUGCUAAUACCCCAUAUGCGCAUAGCUGAGAUGCUAUUCGUGAAAACUCCGGUGCUAAAGGAUGAGUCUGCAUCUGAUUAGCUAGUUGGCGGUGUAAUGGACCACCAAGGCGACGAUCAGUAGCUGGUUUGAGAGGAUGAUCAGCCACAAUGGGACUGAGACACGGCCCAUACUCCUACGGGAGGCAGCAGUAGGGAAUUUUGCGCAAUGGGGGAAACCCUGAACCGCAGCAACGCCGCGUGAUUGAAUAAGCCCUUCGGGGUGUAAAGAUCUGUCAGUAGGGACGAAACUUGACGGUACCUACAGAGGAAGCAUCGGCUAACUCCGUGCCAGCCGCGGC